rnacentral:rRNA from 1 species
UACGUAGGGGGCAAGCGUUGUCCGGAAUCAUUGGGCGUAAAGAGCGUGUAGGCGGCCCGAUAAGUCCGCUGUGAAAGUCCAGGGCUCAACCCUGGAAUGCCGGUGGAUACUGUCGGGCUCGAAUCCGGAAGAGGUGAGUGGAAUUCAUGGUGUAGCAGUGAAAUGCGUAGAUAUCGGGAGGAACACCAGUGGCGAAGGCGACUACCUGGCCUGUUCUUGACGCUGAGGCGCGAAAGCUAGGGGAGCAAACGGG